rnacentral:rRNA from 1 species
UACGAAGGGGGCUAGCGUUGCUCGGAAUCACUGGGCGUAAAGGGUGCGUAGGCGGUCUGUUACGUCUGCUGUGAAAACCCGGGGCUUAACCCUGGGCUUGCAGUGGAUACGGGCAGACUAGAGGCAGGUAGGGGAGAAUGGAAUUCCCGGUGUAGCGGUGAAAUUCGUAGAUAUCGGGAGGAACACCAGUGGCGAAGGCGGCUCUCUGGACAGGUACUGACGCUGAGACGCGAAAGCGUGGGUAGCAAACAGG